UGUGAACUCGAAGAGUAGGGCGGGACACGUGGUAUCCUGUCUGAAUAUGGGGGGACCAUCCUCCAAGGCUAAAUACUCCUGACUGACCGAUAGUGAACCAGUACCGUGAGGGAAAGGCGAAAAGAACCCCGGCGAGGGGAGUGAAAAAGAACCUGAAACCGUGUACGUACAAGCAGUGGGAGCACCUUCGGGUGUGACUGCGUACCUUUUGUAUAAUGGGUCAGCGACUUAUAUUCUGUAGCAAGGUUAACCGUAUAGGGGAGCCGCAGGGAAACCGAGUCUUAACUGGGCGUUAAGUUGCAGGGUAUAGACCCGAAACCCGGUGAUCUAGCCAUGGGCAGGUUGAAGGUUGGGUAACACUAACUGGAGGACCGAACCGACUAAUGUUGAAAAAUUAGCGGAUGACUUGUGGCUGGGGGUGAAAGGCCAAUCAAACCGGGAGAUAGCUGGUUCUCCCCGAAAGCUAUUUAGGUAGCGCCUCGUGAACUCAUCUUCGGGGGUAGAGCACUGUUUCGGCUAGGGGGUCAUCCCGACUUACCAAC
rnacentral:rRNA from 1 species